rnacentral:misc_RNA from 1 species
AACGGUCUAUACCUGCGGUACCUGCGGAAGGAUCAUUAACGCGCCGUGGAGGUUGCCUUUAAACAGGUCUGACCUUCCACCUGGCCACCCUUGUGUAUCUUUAACCUGUUGCUUUGGUGGGCCCGCUGCAAGGCCGCUGGAGAAUUUAAAAGUUUUCUGGCCCGUGCCCACCAAAGUCCUAGUGAACUCUUUGUUAAUUUUCUGCUGUCUGAGCAUUAAAAGAAACAAUUUUUAAAACUU